rnacentral:rRNA from 1 species
GUCAGCCGCCGCGGGAACACCGGCAGCUCUAGUGGUAGCCAUUUUAUUGGGCCUAAAGCGUUCGUAGCCGGUUUGAUAAGUCUCUGGUGAAAUCCUGUAGCUUAACUGUGGGAAUUGCUGGAGAUACUAUUAGACUUGAGGUCGGGAGAGGUUAGCGGUACUCCCAGGGUAGGGGUGAAAUCCUGUAAUCCUGGGAGGACCACCUGUGGCGAAGGCGGCUAACUGGAACGAACCUGACGGUGAGGGACGAAAGCCAGGGGCGCGAACCGGAUUAGAUACCCGGGUAGUCCUGGCCGUAAACGAUGUGGACUUGGUGUUGGGAUGGCUUCGAGCUGUUUCAGUGCCGAAGGGAAGCUGUUAAGUCCACCGCCUGGGAAGUACGGUCGCAAGACUGAACUUAAGGAAUUGGCGGGGGAGCACCACAACGCGUGGAGCCUGCGGUUUAAUUGGAUUCAACGCCGGACAUCUCACCAGGAGCGACAGCCGUAUGAUAGCCAGGUUGAUGACCUUGCUUGACAAGCUGAGAAGAGGUGCAUGG